rnacentral:rRNA from 1 species
UACAGAGGUCCCAAGCGUUGUUCGGAAUUACUGGGCGUAAAGCGCGUGUAGGCGGUUAUUCAAGUCGGGGGUGAAAGCCUUGAGCUCAACUCAAGAAAUGCACUCGGUACUGGGUGACUAGAGGACCGGAGAGGAUAGUGGAAUUCCCAGUGUAGUGGUGAAAUACGUAGAGAUUGGGAAGAACACCAGUGGCGAAGGCGGCUAUCUGGACGGUUUCUGACGCUAAGACGCGAAAGCGUGGGGAGCAAACAGG